rnacentral:rRNA from 1 species
CUGAUGGGACUGCCGGUGACAAACCGGAGGAAAGGUGGGGAUGACGUCAAGUCCUCAUGGCCCUUAUAGGUGGGGCUACACACGUCAUACAAUGGCCGGUACAAAGGGCAGCCAACCCGCGAGGGGGAGCCAAUCCCAUAAAGCCGGUCGUAGUCCGGAUCGCAGUCUGCAACUCGACUGCGUGAAGUCGGAAUCGCUAGUAAUCGUGGAUCAGCAUGUCACGGUGAAUACGUUCCCGGGUCUU